rnacentral:rRNA from 1 species
ACUAAGCGGAUUAGUGGCGAACGGGUGAGUAACACGUGAGUAACCUGCCCUUGACUUUGGGAUAACUUCAGGAAACUGGGGCUAAUACCGGAUAGGAGCUCCUGCUGCAUGGUGGGGGUUGGAAAGUUUCGGCGGUUGGGGAUGGACUCGCGGCUUAUCAGCUUGUUGGUGGGGUAGUGGCUUACCAAGGCUUUGACGGGUAGCCGGCCUGAGAGGGUGACCGGCCACAUUGGGACUGAGAUACGGCCCAG